rnacentral:lncRNA from 1 species
CUCGCCGUCCUUCGCCAUCGCACGCCACCGCACCCCAUCUCUCGAAAUCUGCAGACAUCUUGAUUUUUCCCACGCUGUCUGUCAGGUCUCCGCCGCCACUCGACGCCAGGGCGCCGGGUGAGUCCACAGCAGGGCGCAUGGUCGGCUCCACUCUCACCAUCGGGGGAAACUGAGGCCCCGGGGAAGGCGGCCAGAGAGGUCAGGCCCUGUCCUUGGUGCAGUGUCUCGUCCUCUUUGCCGGAGUGAGCCCCCCAGGAUUCGCGUGUCCUCGGGAAAGACACUGGCAGGCCUUGUGGGCUGUGCUGCACCUCGGACGGCUUCGCACCAGCCAGCGCCCUCUCUCUCCUGCAGCACUCUGAUCUGCACCCCCUGAGGGGCUUCCACUGUCCGCGGGGUGAGAAUGCCCCUGGGAGUGUCACAUGACUGCCGCCCCAUGUGUGUGAGAGGCGUCCUCUGGGAGAGCAUGGAUCCUGAGGUCCCAGGAACAUCCCGAGAGCCAAGUUCCCAGAUGCCAGCCAAGGGCCAUCUGACCUGUUUUGAAUCUCAAUUUCCUGAUACAGAAAACAAAGGAUUGUCAGCUGACCUCUGUCCUGUGUGCCCAGUGGCCCCAGGUGACGUGUCUUCAAGAAGAGGCUGAGCUGCGGUGCUUGUAAGAGUCAUGUGCUGUUCCUGGGGCUUGGAUGAUGUAGGGGAAGCAAGGUGAAAGUGGUAUCCCGUGGUUCCACGUUCUGUCCUGCUGUGGGGCUGUCCCUCACAUGCUUUCAGUGGCUGUUGCAGAGGAAGAGCCUCCGGAAAUCUGCGUCUCAGCCUUAGAUCCAAGGACAGUCCAAGGAAGUCCUAAGACCAUGGAGUUGGUGAUCUGGGAUCUGGGUUUGCUGAUAUUUCUCACCGUGAAUCUCUUGGUGGUGUUUGUGGGCACGAGAGGGGCAGAGAAUGGAGAGUGAGGCUACCACAUGAAGCGUCACCAGAGCUGCUCCCUGCUGCCUGCUCAGAGCACCCCGGAUCCACUGUUCAAUCUGCACAAGAUUCGGGGUCCAGACAUGGGAGACUUCAGCUGCCUCAGAGGACCGUGGACAGGGAAGGCCAGCCUCGCAUCCCUCUGUCCAUGCCUGGAAUGACUUUAAUAACCAAGAGUUUUAUUUUUGAAUUUGUAGCUGUCGUUCACUUUUUACCCACCCAUUCAAUAAACCUUACAGAAUU